GACUUUUUGCAGUUUAUAAGCGUGAUGACUGGGUGUUCCCCUGUGCGUGAGAUGUGCCACCCUGGAACCUUGUUAGUACGGCGGCACAUUGCGCGUCUGACA